rnacentral:rRNA from 1 species
AUACGGAGGGGGUUAGCGUUGUUCGGAAUUACUGGGCGUAAAGCGCACGUAGGCGGAUUGGAAAGGAGGGGGUGAAAUCCCAGGGCUCAACCCUGGAACUGCCUCCUAAACUAUCAGUCUAGAUUUCGAGAGAGGUGAGUGGAAUUCCAAGUGUAGAGGUGAAAUUCGUAGAUAUUUGGAGGAACACCAGUGGCGAAGGCGGCUCACUGGCUCGAUACUGACGCUGAGGUGCGAAAGCAUGGGGAGCAAACAGGAUUAGAAACCCUAGUAGUCC